GAAUAUUGGGCAAUGGGCGAAAGCCUGACCCAGCAACGCCGCGUGAGUGAAGAAGGCCUUCGGGUUGUAAAGCUCUGUUAUAGGGGACGAAGGGAGUGACGGUACCCUAUAAGGAAGCCCCGGCUAACUACGUGCCAGCAGCCGCGGUAAUACGUAGGGGGCGAGCGUUGUCCGGAAUGACUGGGCGUAAAGGGCGUGUAGGCGGUUCUUUAAGUUUGGAGUGAAAGUCCUGUUUUUAAGGUGGGAAUUGCUUUGAAUACUGGAGAACUUGAGUGCGGAAGAGGUAAGUGGAAUUCCCAGUGUAGCGGUGAAAUGCGUAGAGAUUGGGAGGAACACCAGUGGCGAAGGCGACUUACUGGGCCGUAACUGACGCUGAGGCGCGAAAGCGUGGGGAGCGAACA
rnacentral:rRNA from 1 species